rnacentral:rRNA from 1 species
GACGAACGCUGGCGGCGUUCUUAACACAUGAAAGUCGAACGAAGUGGCGAACGGGUGAGUAAUACGUGGUUAACCUGCCCUCCUUUUUGGGCUAAGCCUUGGAAACGGGGUCUAAUACCGUAUAAAGGGGGAUGGGCUCGCGGCCUAUCAGCUUGUUGUUGGGGUGAUGACCUACCAAGGCGGUGACGGGUAGCCGGCCUGAGAGGGGGACCGGCCACAGUGGGACGGAGAUACGGCCCAGAGUACUACGGGGGGCAGCAGUGGGGGAUAUUGCACAAUGGGCGAAAGCCUGAUGCAGCGACGCCGAGUGGGGGAUGAAGGCUUUCGGGUUGUAAAGCUCGUUCGGUAUCGAGCGGGUAGGUAGAGAAGAAGCGCCGGCUAACUACGUGCCAGCCGCCGCGGUAAUAC